rnacentral:rRNA from 1 species
AACGUAGGACGCAAGCGUUAUCCGGAGUUACUGGGCGUAAAGCGCGGGCAGGCGGUCUGAUGCGUCCGAGGUGAAAUCUCCCGGCUCAACUGGGAGGGGUCUUCGGAUACGGGCGGACUUGAGGAGAGCAGAGGUAGGCGGAAUGCUGGGUGUAGUGGUGAAAUGCGUAGAUAUCCAGCGGAACACCAGUGGCGAAGGCGGCCUACUGGGCUCCACCUGACACUGAGGCGCGAAAGCGUGGGGAGCGAACCGG